rnacentral:RNase_P_RNA from 1 species
CCAGUAGAUUGUCUUAUCGCUGUUCCUAAUUUAGGAAUGGAGGAAAGUCCGAACACCGUAGUGCAACAUAGUGGUUAACGGCCACCAACCGUGAGGUUAGGACAAGUGCAACAGAAAGAAUGUACAGGUUAUGCUGUAGUGAAAUCAGGUAAACUCUAUGUGGUGCAAUGCCAUGUAUACCAACGUUUGAGGGCGGCACGCCCGAUGUUGGGUGGGUAGGCAGCUAAAGGUUGCUGGCAACAGUAACUUCAGAUAAAUGAUAAGAGCUCGUUAGAGUACAGAAUUCGGCUUAUAGAUCUACUCUCAUA